rnacentral:lncRNA from 1 species
AACUAAGCAUUGAGCACACAUGGAUGUAAAUAUGGAAACAAGACUGAUAUUCUAGAUUAACCUUUAUCUUGCAUUAACUAAAAAACUUCUAUGUUCUUCCAUGCAGAAAUACACACAAUCCAUUAUUUUAUUCAAAAUUAACUAUCAAUUGAGUAUUUGCUGUUUUCUUUGUUUGCCAUCCCAACCCAGGACUACUUUAAAUGUUUGUACAAUUUAAUUCUCACUAAGUGAUUAUUACUUGGUUUAAGCUAUUAUCUGUUCCUGUUAAAUUCCUAAUGGCUAGUGAUUAUAUCAUUACUUCCAACCACAAGUAUAUGUGUAUACAUUAGCCUCUGAUCUAGUGGUCAAGGUAGACUGAAAUUCUGCCAUUAUUUUUAACCAUUUGUUCUUUUGACUAUCAUUCUAUCCAUUCCAAGCCAAAUGGAUUAUUGAAUCUUUCUUAUUUGAGUAUCUCAAAUACAGUUGUUAUUUCUUGAUAAUGGUGUUGAAUUAUGAGCACAAAGUUAUUUUUAAAUCUAAAUAAAAAAAAGAGAGAAGGCCCAAAUAAACAAAAUCACAGAUGAAAAAGGAGACAUUACAUGCAGUACUACAGAAAUACAAAGAAUCAUUGGAGAAUACUAUACGCAACUAUACAUCAACAAAUAAGAAAACCCGGAAGAAAGGAAUAAAUUCCUGAACACACACAACCUACCAAGACUGAACCAAGAAGAAAGAGAAAGUCUAAACAGGCCCAAUAAUGGGAAACAGAUUAUGCCGGAUUAUCAGGCUGGAACCAAUAUAACCAAAAGGGUUCUUAUAUGCGGGAUAGAAGAGGGGCAGACUCAGAGUAGAUGUGACAAAGGAAGAAAGGUUAGAAUAAUUCAAGGAAGAGACAUGAGUCACAGAAUGCAGACAACCUUUUCACAUUGGAAAAGGAAAUACAAUGGAUUUUUUAACAGAGCCUCCAGAAGGAGAGCAGUCCAGCAAACAUAUUUUCAUUAUUCUAACUUCCAGAAAUGUAAAAUAAUAAAUUACUGUUACUUUAAGCUACAAAAUUUAUGGUAAUUGGUUAUAGCAGCAAUAGGAAACUA